UGGGAUAUAGCUCAGUUGGUAGAGUGCUUGCCUAGCAUGCACAAGGUCCUGGGUUCAAUCCCCAGCACCAUAU
rnacentral:tRNA from 1 species